GCCGAAGUGGCGGAAUUGGUAGACGCGCAUGGUUGAGGGCCAUGUGGGGGCAACCCCGUGCGAGUUCGAGUCUCGCCUUCGGCACCA
rnacentral:tRNA from 1 species